ACGUAGGGGGCGAGCGUUGUCCGGAAUCAUUGGGCGUAAAGGGCGCGUAGGUGGCGGGACAAGCGUGCGGUGAAAGCUCGGGGCUCAACCCCGGGUCUGCCGUGCCGACUGUCAAACUCGAGGGCUGUAGAGGCAGACGGAAUUCCGGGUGUAGCGGUGGAAUGCGUAGAGAUCCGGAGGAAGACCGGUGGCGAAGGCGGUCUGCUGGGCAGUUUCUGACACUGAGGCGCGACAGCGUGGGGAGCAAACAGGA
rnacentral:rRNA from 1 species